AGAGUUUGAUCCUGGCUCAGAAUGAACGCUGGCGGCGUGCUUAACACAUGCAAGUCGAACGAUGAAGUUUAGUUUACUAAAUGGAUUAGUGGCGCACGGGUGAGUAAUAUAUAGAUAACGUGCCUCUUAGUCUGGGAUAGCCAUUGGAAACGAUGAUUAAUACUAGAUACUCCUUCUAACUCUAAUGUUAGUUGGGAAAGUUUUUCGCUAAGAGAUCGGUCUAUAUCCCAUCAGCUAGUUGGUAGUGUAAGAGACUACCAAGGCUAUGACGGGUAGCGGGUUUGAGAGGAUGAUCCGCCACACUGGUACUGAGACACGGACCAGACUCCUACGGGAGGCAGCAGUGAGGAAUAUUGCACAAUGGAGGAAACUCUGAUGCAGCAACGCCGCGUGGAGGAUGACGCAUUUCGGUGUGUAAACUCCUUUUAUAUGUCAAGAAAAUGACGGUAGCAUAUGAAUAAGCACCGGCUAACUCCGUGCCAGCAGCCGCGGUAAUACGGAGGGUGCAAGCGUUAUUCGGAAUCACUGGGCGUAAAGGACGCGUAGGCGGGAAGCCAAGUCUGAUGUGAAAUCCUAUGGCUCAACCAUAGAACUGCAUUGGAAACUGGUUACCUAGAGUAUGGGAGGGGGAGAUGGAAUUAGUGGUGUAGGGGUAAAAUCCGUAGAUAUCACUAGGAAUACCGAAAGCGAAGGCGAUCUCCUGGAACAAUACUGACGCUAAGGCGUGAAAGCGUGGGGAGCAAACGGGAUUAGAUACCCCGGUAGUCCACGCCCUAAACGAUGAACACUAGUCGUCGGAAUGCUAGUCAUUUCGGUGAUGCACUUAACAGAUUAAGUGUUCCGCCUGGGGAGUACGGUCGCAAGAUUAAAACUCAAAGGAAUAGACGGGGACCCGCACAAGUGGUGGAGCAUGUGGUUUAAUUCGAAGAUACGCGAAGAACCUUACCUACCCUUGACAUCCAGAGAAUCUGUUAGAGAUAGUAGAGUGCCUUCGGGAACUCUGAGACAGGUGCUGCAUGGCUGUCGUCAGCUCGUGUCGUGAGAUGUUGGGUUAAGUCCCGUAACGAGCGCAACCCUUAUCCUUAGUUGCUAGCAGGUCAAGCUGAGAACUCUAAGGAGACUGCCGGUGAUAAACCGGAGGAAGGUGGGGACGACGUCAAGUCAUCAUGGCCCUUAUGGGUAGGGCUACACACGUGCUACAAUGGUCGGUACAGAGGGCCGCGAACUCGCGAGAGUAAGCUAAUCCCAGAAAGCCGAUCUUAGUCCGGAUUGCAGUCUGCAACUCGACUGCAUGAAGUUGGAAUCGCUAGUAAUCGCGAAUCAGAAUGUCGCGGUGAAUACGUUCCCGGGCCUUGUACACACCGCCCGUCACACCAUGGGAGUGGGUUGCAAAAGAAGUGGGUAGACUAACCCGCCUUUUUCGGAAGGAGAGAGGUCGCUCACCACUUUGUGAUUCAUGACUGGGGUGAAGUCGUAACAAGGUA
rnacentral:rRNA from 1 species